AAGAUGAUCCAUGGAGUGGGAGAGCAACGAACGAGAUAUCUAGAUAGAGGGAGAGAUUAUGAGGUAAGGGAGAAAUCUGGUGCUAGGGUAAUUCCCAGGAAUCCACAAGGAUGACCCCACCUUAGACUACUAGCAAUAGUGAAGAAGGUGC